GAUGAAGAACGUAGCGAAAUGCGAUAAGUAAUGUGAAUUGCAGAAUUCAGUGAAUCAUCGAAUCUUUGAACGCACAUUGCGCCCCCUGGUAUUCCGGGGGGCAUGCCUGUCCGAGCGUCAUUACAACCCUCAAGCUCAGCUUGGUAUUGGGCCCCGCCGACCCGGCGGGCCCUAAAGUCAGUGGCGGUGCCGUCCGGCUCCGAGCGUAGUAAUUCUUCUCGCUCUGGAGGUCCGGUCGUGUGCUCGCCAGCAACCCCCAAUUUUUUUCAGGUUGACCUCGGAUCAGGUAGGGAUACCCGCUGAACUUAAGCAUAUCAAUAAGCGAGGA
rnacentral:misc_RNA from 1 species